GGCCUCGAGGGACCGCCGGGCUUUUGAGACAGCCGGCCCGGGCCCGGUGGCCGCUGCUUUUUUACCGCUUUCAGCGUGACCUUCGUUGCGUCUUUUGACCUGUCUGGUCACAGUGUCUUCACCUACAAAAAGGGAAGGUGGUUUCUUCCUCAUCCGUUCCAGAGGCUCAAGGAGCACCGUCGGCCCUUAGUGGGCGUCAGCUUUGUGGUAGCGUUUGUGAUUGGAGUUGGGAAGCUGCAGGAGGGUCACCGGGCCUGUGCUGUCAAGGAGAAAAACUACCAUGGCUUCCAGUUCUUUGACAAAACCUCAGAUGCGUGGCCUUCUGGCCAAGCGUCUGCGAUUUCAUAUUGUUGGAGCAUUCGUUGUCUCCUUGGGAGUUGCAGCUUUCUAUAAGUUUGCUGUGGCUGAACCAAGAAAGAAGGCAUAUGCAGAUUUCUACAGAAAUUAUGAUUCCAUAAAAGAUUUUGAGGAGAUGAGGAAGGCUGGUAUCUUUCAGAGUGCAAAGUGAUUUUGGAAUAUAAAGGCAGACUGUUCCUGAAGGAGCAUUCCAACUGCCAUAUAAUUUCUUUGGGUUGAGUUCCAUGGAAGUUUGUCACUUACCUGUGUUCCUGAACUAUGAACUACUAAUAUCUGGGCUAAGGAAUAGUUUCUCAUGAUAAAUAAACGAUUAACAAAUA